rnacentral:rRNA from 1 species
UACAGAGGGCUCAAGCGUUGUUCGGAUUCAUUGGGCGUAAAGGGUGCGUAGGCGGCGCGGUAAGUCGGGUGUGAAAUCUCGGAGCUUAACUCCGAAACUGCAUUCGAUACUGCCGUGCUUGAGGACUGGAGAGGAGACUGGAAUUUACGGUGUAGCGGUGAAAUGCGUAGAUAUCGUAAGGAAGACCAGUGGCGAAGGCGGGUCUCUGGACAGUUCCUGACGCUGAGGCACGAAGGUCAGGGGAGCAAGCGGG